UACGGAAGGUCCGGGCGUUAUCCGGAUUUAUUGGGUUUAAAGGGAGCGUAGGCCGGCUUUUAAGUCAGCGGUAAAAUUGCGGGGCUCAACCCCGUCGAGCCGUUGAAACUGGCAGACUUGAGUUGGCGAGAAGUACGCGGAAUGCGCGGUGUAGCGGUGAAAUGCAUAGAUAUCGCGCAGAACUCCGAUUGCGAAGGCAGCGUACCGGCGCCACACUGACGCUGAGGCACGAAAGCGUGGGUAUCGAACAGG
rnacentral:rRNA from 1 species